GUCACACACGCAGAAUGGGAAAAGGGGGGAACGCUGGCAUAGGAUCGGCAGGGCGCGCAGGCGCUCCGGAACAAUCACAGGAUGCCACUCAGCAGGAUGUCGCCCCUGUAAUGCAAAUAUCAGAUUCUGUCGCAGUAGUAGCGACGGCCAGCAGCACCCGAACGACAGGGUCGCCAUAGAAACAUCAACUGGCCAGUUUACCUUAAAGACUGAUCAUCAGGAAGAUAUGGAUCGGCAAAGACAUAAAAAACUUUGAUUAAAUGAGACCAAACUCUAACGCUACAAAACAACUGUUAUUUUAACGAAUCCAAAGCCCUUCAUGUCAGCCUUUUAUUUGAUUUCGGGAUGGAUGACCUUCAACUUUAUCAUCAUCAAACAACAACAUUUAGUGAUGGAUGAGCUUCAACUUUAUCAUCAUCAAACAACAACAUUUAGUGAUGGAUGAGCUUCAACUUUAUCAUCAUCAAACAACAACAUUUAGUGAGUUUGGAGGGGUUUAUUUUAUGUAUGCAUGGUUCUUUUUGUUUUUGUUUGAUUAUUUUUGUUCAUAUUCAUUCCCACUAAAUUUUAUUUUAAUGACCUCUCCAACAAAUACCAUGUUACCAGAAUCUGAGGUAUAGGUAAGUAUGUUAUUCAUACCCAAAAGAUGUUUGAAGAAAACAUUGCUAUUAUUUUAAUGGUUA